GGGUUGUGAGGUUAAGCGACUAAGCGUACACGGUGGAUGCCCUGGCAGUCAGAGGCGAUGAAGGACGUGCUAAUCUGCGAUAAGCGUCGGUAAGGUGAUAUGAACCGUUAUAACCGGCGAUUUCCGAAUGGGGAAACCCAGUGUGAUUCGUCACACUAUCAUUAACUGAAUUCAUAGGUUAAUGAGGCGAACCGGGGGAACUGAAACAUCUAAGUACCCCGAGGAAAAGAAAUCAACCGAGAUUCCCCCAGUAGCGGCGAGCGAACGGGGAGGAGCCCAGAGCCUGAAUCAGUGUGUGUGUUAGUGGAAGCGUCUGGAAAGGCGCGCGAUACAGGGUGACAGCCCCGUACACAAAAAUGCACAUGCUGUGAGCUCGAUGAGUAGGGCGGGACACGUGGUAUCCUGUCUGAAUAUGGGGGGACCAUCCUCCAAGGCUAAAUACUCCUGACUGACCGAUAGUGAACCAGUACCGUGAGGGAAAGGCGAAAAGAACCCGGCGAGGAGUGAAAA
rnacentral:rRNA from 1 species